rnacentral:lncRNA from 10 species
UACAAGGUAGCCGUUUGGCGUCGUGAGGUAUGGAUGUUCCCAUCCCUAAUUUGCAAAAUAGGUAACUGAGGCUCAGGAGAGCUAGACUAGUUUGUGCACAGCCGAGAAGUGGUCAAGCUAGAAUGGGACCCCAGGUUUGUGCUCCCUACUCUCCACCGAUAACCUAUCAAAGGGCUUUGCAAGAGCUUUUGACUAAUCGUCUGUCAAUGGUUCUUCAUUCACGUAUUAAUUGCACAUCAGUAUGUGCCAAAUCUACUAGACAUUGGAGAAACAGUAGGAACAACACAUGGUACCGGCACAUGGAUCUUUCAGGAAAACGAAGUAGGUAAUAAACAGGAAAAAGCCCGAGUCUGAUGCUAAGAAGAACAUAAACAGGAUGCUGAGAGAUUGGGUCUCUCCACAUUGCCCCGGCUGCUCUCCAACCCCUGAGUUCAAGUGAUUCACCUCCCUUGGCCUCCCAAAGUACUGGGAUUACAGGCGUGAGCCACCGUGCCUGGCUGAGAAGAUGGAUUUAAGACAUAUUUUGGAGUAAAAUUUAAGUGUGGCUCUGUGCCUAUGCUCUCCCCAGCGGAAAGUGACCAGAAGAGGUGUGCAGUUUCCAGGCCUGGCCCAUACAGACCUCCAACAGGUGCUCCCCUGUGCUGUUACUCCUUCUGCCAACU